GACGAACGCUGGCGGCGUGCCUAACACAUGCAAGUCGAACGGAAGGGCGGUGCUUUUGCGGGGUGCCCGCGUGGGGCGCGGGUGUGAAACACGUGAGUAACCUUGCCUUGACUUUGGGAUAACCUGAGGAAACUGGGGCUAAUACCGGCUAGGAGCUCCUGAUGCAUGGUGGGGGUUGGAAAUGUCCGGCGGUUGGGGAUGGACGCGCGGCUUAUCAGCUUGUUGGUGGGGUAGCGGCUUACCCAGGCUUCGACGGGUAGCCGGCCUGAGAGGGGGGCCGGCCACAAGGGGACUGAGAGACGGCCCAGACGCGUAUGGGAGGCAGCAGGGGGGAGUAUUGCACAAUGGGCGGAAGCCUGAGGCAGCAACGCCGCGUGCGGGAAGAACGCUUUGGGGUUGGGAACCGCAUUCGCCUGUGACGAAGCGGGUGUGACGGUAAUGGGUAAAGAAGCACCGGCUAACUACGUG
rnacentral:rRNA from 1 species